AAGAAGAGAAAAGGAAGCACAAUAGAUAAGUAACAAACAUACCUGAAUGAAGACUGGCAAUGGCGGGUUUCCGAAUUGGAUGCCUCCCACAACCCCAUCAAAUGCUGCUACUUCCCAAACAAAGAAACCAUGGUGUCCUCCAAUGCUGCUCCAAUAAUCCCAAUAGCAGGAAGGAAAGAACCCAGACCCCAAAAUUCUUGAAACUUGCUGUUACCGGAGUUACUGAACUUCUAAGACUUCUCUCCCAGUCUGACAAAAACAGAUCGGACACAAUAAACAGGCAGAUUGAUGAAAAUUUGGUUUCUAAUAUAGAUGACAUUCUAAUGAUUAUCAAGUCUGACUAUGAGAAAGCAUACUUUGUAACAGGACACUUUACCUCAGCAAUUUAUGCAGAUGAAUGCACUUUUGAAGAUCCAACUAUUAAAUUUCAAGGAAGGGAUUUGUAUUCACGCAACUUGAAACUGCUGGUACCUUUCUUUGACAAUCCAUCCAUAUUCUUAAAAGAGAUUAAGAAGGGCAUCAAUCCAAAAGCCAAAUAUAUAAUUGCAUCGUGGAAAUUAAGCAGGAACAAUAUACUUGCAUUUUGGCUUCUAGAAGACUUGUGAAAAUGCUGAGUAGAAAUGGAGUGAUUGUCAAAAAUUGAAGUUUCUCAGGAUUGUAAUUGAUCGCACCAUUGAUUUGCAGAACCCAUCUCAUACUUCCGUGGAGGCCUCUCAUUCUGAUUGAUGGAACCACAACCUAUGAUAUUGACGAUCAGUUAAGAGUUAUUAGGCAUGUUGAGAGUUGGAAGAUAUCUGCACUUGAAGCAAUAGGUCAGAUAUUUACUCCAGGCUUUCUGAGGUCAGAUAAAUGAAUCACUUAUUCUCUGGCGAAUUUAACAGUCUGUUCUACAUGCAUGCUAUUCAACAUGGACCAAGACAGAUUGUCCAAAUCAGCUUUAGAAAACAGACUUUGCUCUGCUUACAUCAUUGGGGUAUCGGACCCAAGUUGAUCUAUAACUAGUCUCCCUCUUGUUCUGGGGAUGAGUAAUAGCUCUGUGCUCUUUUCAGAGCUAAAAGUGUCAAAUGCUCGAUACUGCAAGGAUAUACAAGCAUUACAUGAAUGGCCUCACACGCGUUAGGUCUAUGUGACAGUUUCCUGAAUGACAUUCUGAAACUGCAUGCAGGAGAUGACAAAGAACACCCCUUGUAUCUUACCCUUAAGAACUUAAUUUGCUUAGUUGGCUUUUUGCCUUCAUAAGGAAUGAUUAAGAUCCCUAGUUUUCUUAAAGACUUCAGAAAUAUGAUUCUACUUUUAUGCACAAAUAUUUGAGAAUCAGAUUCACGGUCCACUUGGUCUAAAGUAUGUAAACUGCUGUUGCUACUCGUAGCUCUGACAUUAUAAACACUGUAGGAUGCUGUUUGUUAUGAUUUUUAUUGUUAUAUUGAUGUGAUUGGUGGUCUUCUGAAGUAAUUAAGGAAAUGAUUUUGAUGUC